AUCCACGGCCAUAGGA
rnacentral:rRNA from 2 species